rnacentral:rRNA from 1 species
UACAGAGGGUGCGAGCGUUGUCCGGAUUCAUUGGGCGUAAAGGGUGUGUAGGUGGCGCGCUAAGUCGGGUGUGAAAUUUCGGAGCUUAACUCCGAAACUGCAUUCGAUACUGGCGUGCUUGAGGACUGGAGAGGAGACUGGAAUUUACGGUGUAGCAGUGAAAUGCGUAGAUAUCGUAAGGAAGACCAGUGGCGAAGGCGGGUCUCUGGACAGUUCCUGACACUGAGACACGAAGGCCAGGGGAGCAAACGGG